GUGAGGAAUCUUGCACAAUGGGGGCAACCCUGAUGCAGCGACGCCGCGUGCGGGAAGAAGGCCUUCGGGUCGUAAACCGCUUUUCUGGGGGAAGAGGAAGGACGGUACCCCAGGAAUAAGUCCCGGCUAACUACGUGCCAGCAGCCGCGGUAAAACGUAGGGGGCGAGCGUUAUCCGGAAUUACUGGGCGUAAAGGGCGUCUAGGCGGCACGCCAAGUCUCGCGUGAAAGCUCCCGGCUCAACUGGGAGAGGGCGCGGGAAACUGGCGAGCUAGAGACUCGGAGGGGGGUGUGGAAUUCCCGGUGGAGUGGUGAAAUGCGUUGAGAUCGGGAGGAACACCCGUGGCGAAGGCGGCACCCUGGCCGAGGUCUGACGCUGAAGCGCGACAGCGUGGGGAGCGAACGGGAUUAGAAACCCUAGUAGUCC
rnacentral:rRNA from 1 species